rnacentral:rRNA from 1 species
GUUUUUAUUGAUAUGAAGAGCUUGCUCUGAUUUGAUUUUCCCUGACAAAGAGUGGCGAACGGGUGAGUAACACGUGGGUAACCUACCUCUUAGCAGGGGAUAACAUUUGGAAACAAGUGCUAAUACCGUAUAACACUAACAACCGCAUGGUUGUUAGUUGAAAGAUGGUUCUGCUAUCACUAAGAGAUGGACCCGCGGUGCAUUAGCUAGUUGGUAAGGUAAUGGCUUACCAAGGCGAUGAUGCGUAGCCGAGUUGAGAGACUGAUCGGCCACAAUGGGACUGAGACACGGCCCAUACUCCUACGGGAGGCAGCAGUAGGGAAUCUUCCACAAUGGGCGCAAGCCUGAUGGAGCAACGCCGCGUGUGUGAUGAAGGGUUUCGGCUCGUAAAACACUGUUAUAAGAGAAGAACGACAUUGAGAGUAACUGUUCAGUGUGUGACGGUAUCUUAUCAGAAAGGAACGGCUAAAUACGUGCCAGCAGCCGCGGUAAUACGUAUGUUCCAAGCGUUAUCCGGAUUUAUUGGGCGUAAAGCGAGCGCAGACGGUUAUUUAAGUCUGAAGUGAAAGCCCUCAGCUCAACUGAGGAAGGGCUUUGGAAACUGGAUAACUUGAGUGCAGUAGAGGAAAGUGGAACUCCAUGUGUAGCGGUGAAAUGCGUAGAUAUAUGGAAGAACACCGGUGGCGAAAGCGGCUUUCUGGACUGUAACUGACGUUGAGGCUCGAAAGUGUGGGUAGCAAACAGGAUUAGAUACCCUGGUAGUCC